AACGAACGCUGGCGGCAUGCCUAACACAUGCAAGUCGAACGAGCCCUUCGGGUCUAGUGUCGCACGGGUGCGUAACGCGUGGGAACCUGCCCUUAGGUUCGGAAUAACUCCCCGACAGGGGUGCUAAUACCGGAUAAUGUCUUCGGACCAAAGAUUUAUCGCCUUUGGAUGGGCCCGCGUUGGAUUAGCUAGUUGGUAGGGUAAACGCCUACCAAGGCGACUAUCCAUAGCUGGUCUGAGAGGAUGAUCAGGCACACUGGGACUGAGACACGGCCCAGACUCCUACGGGAGGCAGCAGGUGGGAAUAUUGGACAAUGGGCGAAAGCCUGAGCCAGCAAUGCCGCGUGAGUGAGGAAGGCCUGAGGGUUGUAAAGCUCUUUUACCCGGGAUGAUAAUGACAGUACCGGGAGAAUAAGCGCCGGCUAACUCCGUG
rnacentral:rRNA from 1 species